rnacentral:lncRNA from 10 species
AAAAGAAAAAAGCAAUGCCUGCAUUUUUAGAAUGAGAGUCAUCCUCCAAAGGUUGCCCCUUAAAAGUAAAGAAUUGUAACUCUGUCAUCUUUGUGGUCAAAUUCCUUUUCCUCUUGGAAAUAAAAGAAUGUUCUUUGACUGUGAUUUUCUUUCUUUCUCAUCAGCCAUGAGUGAUGAAAGACAGAUACCAACAAAUGAAAUUAGACUCUCUCUGACUAUCCUCAGAUCAGAAACUCUUGAGUCAACAGGAAAAGACAAGACGAUACUGUAUGAAAGUCUGACCAACAUAAAGGGUGCUACAAGGAUGCCCCCAAGGCUCAGGAUGUUGGAGAGUUGAGGCACCAUGAGUAACCACAAUGCAGAAUGAAGAAUAGUUCUUCUGGUGUGAGGAUCCACUGGGUUGCCACUGACCCAUUGCCUGAGGGUAUGCGAUGAAACCAGAAUCAGCAACUGUAGAUGGCAGCUCAGAAGGGGAAACGACACAUCUAAUAACCAACAGGAAUGGCUAUUAAUUAGCUGAAAUGACAAUAAUUAACAGAAAUGACAAGUCUAAUAAAUUUUCACUUAAGUGUUGUCACAUGGCACUUUGAGUUUUAGCUUUCCAUUUUAAAUAUUAAUCUCGGUGGGGUUUACUUUAGAUGAAGAGUCAUAUCAAGUAUGACUAUGGAAAUAAUUCUGUACAGACACUCCAUCAAAUUAUGUUUAAUCCAUUUCACUUAUGCUAUGAUCAGUAGAGAGUGUAUUAAAAGCUCACAUUGUCACCCUAAAAAUAUAUUCUUUUUGUGUGUAUCUAAUUUAUGCUGCUCAGAAACAUUCAGCCACAGGGAUCAGAGGGAAGGUGGUUGUUUUUAAUUUUCUUUGAUAUCUUCAAAGAUAGGAAAGUCUCACCCCUCUGCUCUUUCCCCCUCUUCAGCAACAGACAAAGAAGGUUAAAUCUUAUUAGCAUGUCCUAUAUAGCUAGUUGUAACCUAAGUGACCUGUCAUGGCACUAAAUGCCUACUAGAACUUUCUCUGUACUUGCAAGAUGGAAAUUUUAUGCAUCAAUGCUUUUAUGUAUGCAUCUGAUUUGGGAAGUUCACUGCUUUAUGGAUAUGAACAUUGUGAUCAAGUAAAUUGAUCUACAUAAUGGGAUUUUGUGUGUGUGCGUGCAUAUAUCUAUAUGGAUAUGGAUGUAUGCAAGUGUAUUCUAAGAGGAAAUAUAAUACAUGAAAUGUUAACUUUAAUGAUAUGAAAUGCAUUAAAUUCAAACUAUCUUGCAUGUGUAUGCAGAUGCAUUAUGUCUCUAUCAUUGUACUCUGCAGGGAUUUAAGGUAGAAAAAAUUCAUCGUAUUCUCUGAUGUGCCAUGCUAAAUAAGA